GCUGAGGAGUGAUGACAAUAAAAGGCCGAAUUGCAGUGCCUCCAGCAAACAGUUUGCUCUCUUUGGAAGCACAAUGACAAAGAUCGUCCGAAGCGAAUCACCAGUCUGACCUCAGU
ensembl:snoRNA small nucleolar RNA, C/D box 89